CAGCAGCCACGGUAAUACGUAGGUGGCAAGCGUUGUCCGGAAUUAUUGGGCGUAAAGCGCGCGCAGGCGGCCUAUCCAGUCUGUCUUAAAAGUUCGGGGCUCAACCCCGUGAUGGGAUGGAAACUGCUGAUCUAGAGUAUCGGAGAGGAAAGUGGAAUUCCUAGUGUAGCGGUGAAAUGCGUAGAUAUUAGGAAGAACACCAGUGGCGAAGGCGACUUUCUGGACGAAAACUGACGCUGAGGCGCGAAAGCCAGGGGAGCGAACGGGAUUAGAUACCCGUGUAGUCCCUGUCUCUUAUACC
rnacentral:rRNA from 1 species